AGACGUGACUUUCACCUUCUGCCAUGAUUGUGAGGCCUCGCCAGCCACGUGGAACUGAUCCACACCCAAGUCCGCUCAUCACCCUGGAGACUCAGAAGGAUACCCUAUUAAACUUAUGAAAACCCAUGGGCAAACAUCUGUGUCCGGAACUCUGGAAGUCAAAUCUUAUCUCCUGGGAGUGGAACAGCAGAAUCCCUGGAUGGUUCUGUCUUUGACGUUCCUGUAUCCUUCACUCUGGACACCACCCCAUCAGCCCUUCAAAACCCUCAUGGGAAAGAGGAGUUGUAGACCAGUGGCUUUGGCCAGCACCUGAGGCUUCCAGCAGCAGCUCCUUACACAGUGGCGACUCUUAAAGUCCAAUCUGUUAGCCCAAGGGACCUGAACCUCCAUCUGCAACCAACAAUGGCACAAGGUAGACUCUCAGCAUUUGUGCUAUGCCAUUGGGGAAGGGCUUCAAUUUGUCUGCAAACAUUGCUCCAUCAGUCUCAUUUGGUUCCCUGUCUUUGGGGAGCCUGGGAAUAUUGUUCUCGCUCCCCGAGUUCUGAUUUUCCAUGUUAAAGAGAUGUUGGAACCCAACCAAAGUGCAAAUGUUUCUUUGUGACUGUUGGCACAAGCCCGUGGCCAGAUCUGACUUUGUGCUGGCCUCAGCCCAUUGUGAGGUGAAUGAUGGGAUCCUGUUCAGCUGCCUGCAGGCAGGUCAGACAAGGGGGUCAGGUCCCUUUCUGGCAGGAAGUAGUGCCUCAAAUGUUACCCAUAUGCCAUGAACAAGAUGGCAGAUGUGGCCAAGCUUGGAAGAAUUAACUCUGCAGAGGUUAGGUGACAGAUGUACCCUGAGCCCU
rnacentral:sRNA from 1 species